rnacentral:rRNA from 1 species
UACGUAGGGGGCAAGCGUUGUCCGGAUUUAUUGGGCGUAAAGAGCGUGUAGGCGGCUUCACAGGUCCGCUGUGAAAACUCGAGGCUCAACCUCGAGCUGUCGGUGGAAACCGUGUGGCUAGAGUCCGGAAGAGGAGAGUGGAAUUCCGGGUGUAGCGGUGAAAUGCGCAGAUAUCGGGAAGAACACCCGUGGCGAAGGCGGCUCUCUGGGACGGUACUGACGCUGAGACGCGAAAGCGUGGGGAGCGAACAGG